CCCCUGGUGGUCUAGUGGCUAGGAUGCAGCACUCUCACUGCUGCAGCCCGGGUUCGAUUCCCAGUCAGGGAA
rnacentral:tRNA from 1 species